AACGAACGCUGGCGGCAGGCCUAACACAUGCAAGUCGAGCGCCCCGCAAGGGGAGCGGCGGACGGGUGAGUAACGCGUGGGAACGUGCCCUUUGCUACGGAAUAGCCCCGGGAAACUGGGAGUAAUACCGUAUAAGCCCUACGGGGGAAAGAUUUAUCGGCAAAGGAUCGGCCCGCGUUGGAUUAGGUAGUUGGUGGGGUAAUGGCCUACCAAGCCGACGAUCCAUAGCUGGUUUGAGAGGAUGAUCAGCCACACUGGGACUGAGACACGGCCCAGACUCCUACGGGAGGCAGCAGUGGGGAGUCUUAGACAAUGGGCGCAAGCCUGAUCUAGCCAUGCCGCGUGAGCGAUGAAGGCCUUAGGGUUGUAAAGCUCUUUCGUGGGGGUAGAUAAUGACUGUACCCCAAGAAGAAGCCCCGGCUAACUCCGUGCCAGCCGCCGCCGUAAGAC
rnacentral:rRNA from 1 species